rnacentral:rRNA from 1 species
AUUGAACGCUGGCGGCAGGCCUAACACAUGCAAGUCGAGCGGAUGAAGGGAGCUUGCUCCUGGAUUCAGCGGCGGACGGGUGAGUAAUGCCUAGGAAUCUGCCUGGUAGUGGGGGAUAACGUCCGGAAACGGGCGCUAAUACCGCAUACGUCCUGAGGGAGAAAGUGGGGGAUCUUCGGACCUCACGCUAUCAGAUGAGCCUAGGUCGGAUUAGCUAGUUGGUGGGGUAAAGGCCUACCAAGGCGGCGAUCCGUAACUGGUCUGAGAGGAUGAUCAGUCACACUGGAACUGAGACACGGGCCAGACUCCUACGGGAGGCAGCAGUGGGGAAUAUUAGACAAUGGGCGAAAGCCUGAUCCGGCCAUGCCGCGUGUGUGAAGAAGGUCUUCGGAUUGUAAAGCACUUUAAGUUGGGAGGAAGGGCAGUAAGUUAAUACCUUGCUGUUUUGACGUUACCAACAGAAUAAGCACCGGCUAACUUCGUG